GCAAGCGUUGUCCGGAAUUAUUGGGCGUAAAGAGCUCGUAGGCGGCUUGUCACGUCGAUUGUGAAAGCCCGAGGCUUAACCUCGGGUCUGCAGUCGAUACGGGCUAGCUAGAGUGUGGUAGGGGAGAUCGGAAUUCCUGGUGUAGCGGUGGAAUGCGCAGAUAUCAGGAGGAACACCGAUGGCGAAGGCAGAUCUCUGGGCCGUAACUGACGCUGAGGAGCGAAAGCGUGGGGAGCGAACAGG
rnacentral:rRNA from 1 species